CCUACGGGGGGCUGCAGUGAGGAAUAUUGGUCAAUGGGCGGGAGCCUGAACCAGCCAAGCCGCGUGAGGGAAGAAGGCCCUGCGUAUCGUAAACCUCUUUUGUCAGGGAACAAAGGCGGGGACUAGUCCCCGGAUGAGGGUACCUGAAGAAAAAGCAUCGGCUAACUCCGUGCCAGCAGCCGCGGUAAUACGGAGGAUGCGAGCGUUAUCCGGAUUUAUUGGGUUUAAAGGGUGCGCGGGCGGCCUGUUAAGUCAGCGGUAAAAGCCCGGGGCUCAACCCCGGAGGGCCUGUGAAACUGGCGGGCUGGAGUGUGAGAGAGGUACGCGGAAUGCGCGGUGUAGCGGUGAAAUGCUUAGAUAUCGCGCAGAACCCCGAUUGCGAAGGCAGCGUACCGGCGCCACACUGACGCUGAGGCACGAAAGCGUGGGUAUCGAACAGGAUUAGAUACCCCUGUAGUC
rnacentral:rRNA from 1 species